rnacentral:rRNA from 1 species
ACGUAGGGUGCAAGCGUUGUCCGGAAUUACUGGGUGUAAAGGGAGCGCAGGCGGACCGGCAAGUUGGAAGUGAAAACCAUAGGCUCAACCUAUGGAUUGCUUUCAAAACUGCUGGCCUUGAGUAGUGCAGAGGUAGGUGGAAUUCCCGGUGUAGCGGUGGAAUGCGUAGAUAUCGGGAGGAACACCAGUGGCGAAGGCGACCUACUGGGCACCAACUGACGCUGAGGCUCGAAAGCAUGGGUAGCAAACAG